rnacentral:lncRNA from 1 species
CGAGAGUUUGGCUGUGGGUUGAGUGACCAAAACAAAUGCCAGCGACAGGCUGAGUGAAUGUGCUUCAGAUGAAUAACCUUUGUUUUGAAGCAAGAGGUGCCAGAUGUAUUUUCAGACAUACCUGCCCGGCUGUGACCGUGCUGCACCCUCCCAAUACCCCACUCUGCUAAUCAGCACACAGCAAAAGGGGCUGAAGCAGCAAUCUUGACUUAAAGGCUGACUCUGAUUGGAAAAUAAACAACUAUAAAGUACAAUAAAUCCCAUUGAAGAGUCCAGUCAAAACAUCCCAAUGAACAGCUAAUGCUCUGCUAACCAACUCCAGAUGUCACUGCCUUGUCUGGCACUAAUUGGUUGACUGGAGAGUAACUGUGUAACCUGAAGGAAAUCUCUACUUCUUGCACUUGGGAUGAGUUGCUAAGGCAGAAAAUGGUUCGGCUUUGUUAUGUUUCUCAGUUUCCUAACCACAGAGGCACUGCAGACACCUGCACUCAUCAGGAGCUCUGCUGACCCCCUCCCAGCAGCCAGGCACCAUCCUUUUCCAAGCACUGCAUCGAAAGUUCCUCCAGAGCAUGGAGCUGCCUCUGACAGCCAAUGUUCCUUCACUCCCAAACAUCCCAGGGUUUAUUUGUUUAACCAGAGGACAUGCCCUAGCAGAUGGCAGCUAGGUUCUUAGAUAAAGGUAGCUGCAAAUUCCAGUUGGAAGCACUUGAAACACCAAAGGGCACCAAAAAGAGCAACCGCUUUCAAAUAUGGUUUAAAAAAAUAAGAAGACUGGAGAUGAGUUUGGAAAUAGAAAGUUGAUGCGUAAAGCAAGAUUCGUCUGGUGCACCUGAAUUCCUGCAGCCUGGAAAUUCCAUGUCUGCCUGCACAGCUCCGUAUGGGCAGAUGAUAAACCAGGUAACUAACCAGGAUUUUUCAGUGACAUUAUUUUUAGGCAUAUUUGACAGGACUGUGCUUUAGAAACAAUCCUAUGUCAUAUUACAAACAACUGUGUGCCUGGAAGGAUCUCCUCUGUUUUACCAGGACAGCUGUCAGUGCCGUGAUUCUGCACACAUUAGUCAACAUCACUUGACUUCAAAGCCUGAUUGCCUUCAGG